rnacentral:rRNA from 1 species
GUCUAUGGCCAUACCACCCUGAACGCACCUAAUCUCGUCUGAUCUCAGAAGCUAAGCAGGGUCAGGCCUGGUUAGUACUUGGAUGGGAAGAAAUAAAUUAUUGGAACACAAUACA